rnacentral:rRNA from 1 species
CCUACGGGGGGCAGCAGUGGGGAAUAUUGCACAAUGGGGGAAACCCUGAUGCAGCGACGCCGCGUGAGUGAAGAAGUAUUUCGGUAUGUAAAGCUCUAUCAGCAGGGAAGAAAAUGACGGUACCUGACUAAGAAGCCCCGGCUAACUACGUGCCAGCAGCCGCGGUAAUACGUAGGGGGCAAGCGUUAUCCGGAUUUACUGGGUGUAAAGGGAGCGUAGACGGCCAGACAAGUCAGAAGUGAAAGCCCAUGGCUCAACCCUGGGACUGCUUUUGAAACUGCCGGGCUGGAGUGCAGGAGAGGGAAGCGGAAUUCCUAGUGUAGCGGUGAAAUGCGUAGAUAUUAGGAGGAACACCAGUGGCGAAGGCGGCUUACUGGACUGUAACUGACGUUGAGGCUCGAAAGCGUGGGGAGCAAACAGGAUUAGAUACCCGAGUAGUC